AUAAUGGGUCUCUUAUGUAUCAUAGGGCCCAUAAAAAAAUGGAGGAAAAAAAAUAAGAGACCUGUAAUUGACUUAACAGGUCUCAUAUAUGUGUAAGGGCCCAUCACUUAAAGGAUUGAUAACAAAACCCUACUUCUUUCUCUUCAUAUUCCCCAUUUCAAUUUACCUCCUUCACGUCGCUUUCCUAUUCUCAUUCACUCUCCUCUCAUAUAUUUUUUUUCUCUUGGAGCAAAAAAUGCUGCUUCCAUCUCCUCCUCAACGCCUCCUUGUUUAUUUCAUCACCACCAAUUAAAGCUUAAAUAAUCGCACCACGCUUCACACUUCUCCUUCGGAACCGCAGCAGCGCCCAACCAUGUCGACUUUCGAAGCUUUGGUAUUCUACAGAUCUGCUCAUUUAUAAGGAAAGGGCAUUCAAGCAAUCCAAUUUGCUCACCGAAGAUCUAUUGACAUCUGUUUGAUGUUGUUACCUUCAAACAAAGAAGGUAGCAAAUGGAGUACACAAGUCUAAUUAAUGUAAUUAUAAUUGUAAUUGUAAAUUUCAAUAAAUUCAAACAAUUUUUUUCACGGGAUUUUAUGUUCGUUGAAUUUUAUUUUUUUCCUCUCAUCAAUUUGAAGUGUAACUUGCAUGUUACAUACAAAUUAAGUGUACAAAUUACUAAUACCAAUUUAUAAUUUAGCUCCUCAAUUCUGCCAAUUUGUAUAGAACAUAAAAACAAAAUUAAUUAAAAUGCAAAACGCAAAAAAAAAAAAAAAAAAAAAAAAAAAAAA